AGUGAACGCUGGCGGUAGGCCUAACACAUGCAAGUCGAACGGCAGCACAGUAAGAGCUUGCUCUUACGGGUGGCGAGUGGCGGACGGGUGAGGAAUACAUCGGAAUCUACUUUUUCGUGGGGGAUAACGUAGGGAAACUUACGCUAAUACCGCAUACGACCUACGGGUGAAAGCAGGGGAUCUUCGGACCUUGCGCGAUUGAAUGAGCCGAUGUCGGAUUAGCUAGUUGGCGGGGUAAAGGCCCACCAAGGCGACGAUCCGUAGCUGGUCUGAGAGGAUGAUCAGCCACACUGGAACUGAGACACGGUCCAGACUCCUGCGGGAGGCAGCAGUGGGGAAUAUUGGACAAAGGGCGCAAGCCUGAUCCAGCCAUACCGCGUGGGUGAAGAAGGCCUUCGGGUUGUAAAGCCCUUUUGUUGGGAAAGAAAAGCAGCAGGUUAAUACCCCGCUGUUCUGACGGUACCCAAAGAAUAAGCACCGGCUAACUUCGUG
rnacentral:rRNA from 1 species